GGAUGCGGGCAGCACCGAGACGGAAGCGCGGCAGGACGGGAGCGGUGCUGAGGACAGCGGCGCCGGAGGUGUGCGGGAGAACGGCUCCAUGCCGGGGAGAGAAACCGAGCGCGGCCCGAAUCCCCCCGCCGUCCCCUCCGCUCCCCUCCCCUCCGCACCCCUCCCCUCCGCUCGGCCGUGGGAUGCGGGGAUUUGGGACGGCUGAAGGACUCGGGGCCCCCACCGCCGCAGCGCUGCUGCCCGCAUCCGGGCCGGGCCCCCCCGAGCCUCCAGCGCUGCUCCCGGUGCCCCCCGGGGCUGAGGCAGGAGCCGGGCAGCGGUACUGCAGCUCGUCUGGCAGCUUUGCAGCUGAGUUGGGAAGUAGAAGAUGUGGCUGUGAAAGAAGAAGUCAGUUGCUGGGACGUCCCCCUGUUCUUCCCCUAGCUGUCCCCUUGCCUCAGCCUGGAUUCCCCUUGCAUUCCUGUAGGAUUCCCAUCCAUCCUCCUGGUUGUCCCUUGCUUUCCCCAAGGUUGCUCUUUGCUUUCCCAUGACAGCCCACCCAUCAUUCCCUCAAAGCCCCAAUAUCCACCCCAGUGUUUCCCCAGCAAGACCCCUAGAGACGCCCUGUAGCCCCCCACAGAGCACCAUACACCCUCUAGGACCUCCUCAGACCCGGUACGCCCCCCCCGUAGCUGGCCCAUACGCACACGGAGCCCCACAGUCCCCAGCAUCACCCCAUGUAACCCACUGGGCUACCACAGAACCCCCGUAUUUCCUCUAUUUCCUCCCUCAGACCUCCUUUCCCACCUCCAAGACCCCAACCCCGGGAUCUCAUCGAUUCCCACGGUCCCUGACAGCAGCACCCCUGUCACCAUCCCAGGAACCCCAUAGCCCACCUGAGGGCCCUCCUCAACCCCAUCCCCAUCAAGCUCUUGUACAGCCAUAGGGUGCUGGGGCAGGGGUGGCUGCUGCAGGAGAGGAAUGCGGGGCUGGAGCAGGUGCAGGGCACAGCUGUGGGUGAAAGGGAUGUGAGGGGCACUGUGGGUCCAGGAACGUAGGGGUUGUGGGGGCACGUGGGGAGCGGUUUGGGGUGAGAAUGGAGGAUGUGCGGUGGUGUUGGAGUGCACUGGUUGAUUUCUUCCUGGGAGGGGAUUGGGGUUCCCUUUGGCCCAAAGGUGGAGCCCUGAUCCAUAACCCCACGUGAGCCCAGAGCCCCAUAUAACUCUGCAUGAGCCCAAGGCUCCCCAUGACCCAUAACCGUGUGAGCACCGUAAGCCCAUAUGAGGCUGAGGGCAGUGAUGGGUCUGUUACUGGCUAGGUCAGGAAGUACUCUAGGGUGGCUCUGGGGCCGCUGUAGAAUAGCGCUCUGUAUCUGCCCCUGACCCUCAUCUUGGGGGGUAAGAUGGGGGUGCAGGGGUUAGUGGAGGGCUAAGGAAGAGAUUCCAUGAGUAUGAACCAUAGCAGCCCCAGAGCCAUCCUAGAGCAGCGCCAUCACUGCCCAUGGCCCAUGGCCAGCAGCAGUUCCACCACAAGCUGUGUGUUGGGUCAAGGCAGCUCCUAGGUGUUGCUCUGCUUCAUAGCUGCCCCAAAGUGCCCCUGUAGCCCUCCCAUAGGUGUCCUUUAACUGCCCCACCACCCCGUAAGUCUUCCCCACGUCCUAGCACAUCCCCCCACGUGCGUGCAGGGUGUGCAAGAAACGCUCUCAUCCCUGAUAUUCCAUCAGGCACAGCCCUUCGUGCAGCAGCAAAGCUCCUUCCUGAUUGCUGUGGCGUUACUUCACUCUCCUCAGUGAGUUCCUUCUGCUCCCGUUGGGUUGGUUGAGUUGGGUUGGUUGGGAUGAGGUGGGGGCAGGGAUCCCAGAGUUCUGGGGCCACAUGGCAUCGGGUCGCAGCGUGUUGGGGGCAGGAAGGGUCAGGGAGUCACAGGGUCUUGUGGGGGUGUGGUUCACCCAGGGCUGUGGGUCACGUAUAGCCAUGGUGUCAUGCACAUACAGGGUGAUGAGAUCAUCUUGGCUUAAGGCUCAUGUGGGGUUACGGCUCAGGGCCCCACCUUUGGGCUGCAUGGACCCCCAGUCCCCUCUCAGGAAGAAAUGAAACCCCUCCUACACCGCUGCCCCCUUCCCCCCCUUUUUUUUUUUUUUUACCUCAAACUGCUCCCCACAUCCUCCCAUAGCACCCCAUACUCCCGCGUCCCUCUUGCAGCCCACAUCUUGUCUUCUCCUGAACAGCAUUCUGCUCCUGCAGGCUGUGUUGUCAUAUCCAUUCUAUAUCCCCCACAACCUCUCCCACAGACCCACAUAGCUCCUCAAGUACUUUCUCUGACCUGGUACACCUCCCCCACCGCCAACCUGGGACCUCGCAGAGCCCCACAGUCCCCAGCAGCACCCCACGUCCCCCACGGUUCUUCAAGGAUCCCUCCGAUUUGAGGGAGGCUCAGACCUCCCUUUAUGCCUCAGACCCCUCCUGUGUUCUCUGACUCCCACAGUCCCUGACAGGACCCCCAUCACCAUCCCAGGACCCCCAUAGCCCACUGAUGAGGAACCCCGCAGCAAUCCACAUCUCAGGAUGGGGCUCCAGCUUUGCCCCAAUGCCUGCAUUAAAGAGAGGAGAAUGAAUGAGCGUAACGGGGCACCUUUCCUCCUGACAUUACCAACUGCCUGCGUGUUGGCUGUGCCACGUGAGCGGCAUUUUGUCCUCGAGCUGUGAGUGCAGACAGAGGCCCUGAGAACAACCAGAGCCGUGUCUGCCUUCACCAAGGACUCACCUCUGCACGUGCAGCGGCAGCUCUGAGGGCAGCCUUCAUCGAUUCCCCUCUCCUCUCUUUCUCUUGGCGUCUUCUCGCUAGAAAGCAAGAAUAAACAUGAAUGCAUUUUGUCAGCA